GUGCUUUCUUUGGCAGUAUAUAUACUGAACGUGAAAUGCCACAUAGAGGAAUAACCUGGUUCCAAUACAAGGAUGACAUGCAUAUUUGUGAAAUAUUUCAUAUUGUG
ensembl:snRNA U6 U6 spliceosomal RNA